AAAACUAAAGAAAAAGAGUGGGUCGCCGCCGAUGGAUAGACGAGAAGAAGAAGAAGAAGAAACU
rnacentral:sRNA from 1 species